UCCCUCCCUGCCUCUCUAACCUUCAAUCACUUUAUUGAAGUGAUUAUUUAUUUACACACAAGAAAAUGCAUACACUGUUAAGAGCACAGUUGGAUAAGUUUUGACAAGCAAAUACACCCAUGUUACUGAUACCCUAUUCAAGAUAUCCAAUCUUUCUAUCAUUCUAAAAUGUCCCUUGUACGCUCCUUUGUAGGCAAUUCCCAUAUUUUCCAUCAUUGUUAUGAGCUGAUCUGAUUACUGUUACCAUAACUUAGUUGCCUUACAGCUUUAUAAAAUUUAAGUCAUAUGACAUGUACUCUUGUGUCAAGCUUGAUUUACUCUCCGUAAUGCUCUGAGAUUUGGCUAUUGUAUGUAUCAAUUUGUUAUUCCUUUUAUUUUUGAUUAGUUUUGUUUCACCAUUCAGCAGUUGAUGCGUACUUGGGUUGCUCCCAGUUUGGAGGUAUUGUGAAUGAAGCUGCUAUGAACAUUUAUAAAUAAGUCUGUGUGAACAUGCAUUUUUUUUUCUUUUGAGUAAAUUCCUAUGAUAGGAUUGCUGGGUCAUGUAGUAAAUGUAUGUUUAAUUUUCUAAGAAAAUUUCUAAAUUAAUUAAACAAGGAUGUCAUUUGAUUGAGACGACACUGAUGCUUUGGCAGCCCAUGUAGACAAACCAAAAUCUAAUUGUGUAAAUGCCUUCAGGUUGUGAAAUUAAAAUGGUAAAAAUGACCAAUCACAAAGAACUAGCCAGGCUUUCAGCAACAGCCAAUCAUUUUCUUACUUUCCUCUGCCUUUUCUCUGUGAAAGUCUCUCCCUGAGCUCCUGUCCCCAGAGUACUCCUAACCACUUCUCUUUGGUGCUGCCUUAUUUGAGUCAAUUUUUUUAUCAGAUAAAUUCUUAAAAUGCUCCAGUUAAUCUUUCAACACUGGUUUUCAAAGGGAUUACCGUUUCACGUGCCUACCAAAACCAGAGGAGAAUUCUAGUUAUUCCACAUCUGCUCCAGCACUUAGUAUGAUACUUUAUGUUGUUAGUUUCCACAUUUGGGUCUUUGAUUCACUUGGAAUUAAUUUUGAUGUACAGUAUGAGUGCAGGGAACACGGGCUCGAUUCCCGGUCUGGGAAGAUCCCACAUGCCGUAGAGCAACUAAGCCCACAUACCACAACUCCGGAGCCCACAUGCCAGAACCUGUGCUGCCCGAGGGAAGCAGCCGCAAUGAGAAGCCAGCGCGUCGCCAAGAGGAGGAGCCCCCGCUGGAGAAAUGCCAAGCACCUUGACAAAGACCCAGUGCGGCCAAAAAUGAAAAAUAAACAAAAUUAUUAAAAAAAAAGAAAUAAAUAUUGGAGUUUGUGACUUUU